GACGAACGCUGGCGGCGUGCUUAACAUAUGCAAGUCGAGCGGUAAGGCCCUUUCGGGGUACGACGAGCGGCGAACGGGUGAGUAACACGUGGGUGACCUGCCCUCAGCUCUGGGAGUAAGCCUGGGAAACCGGGUCUAAUACCGGAUAUGACUCCAUGACGCAUGUUGUGGGGUGGAAAGCCUUGUGCGGCUGAGGAUGGGCCCGCGGCCUAUCAGCUUGUUGGUGGGGUGAUGGCCUACCAAGGCGACGACGGGUAGCCGGCCUGAGAGGGCGACCGGCCGACACUGGGACUGAGACACGGCCCAGACUCCUACGGGAGGCAGCAGUGGGGAAUCUUGCGCAAUGGGCGAAAGCCUGACGCAGCGACGCCGCGUGAGGGAUGACGGCCU
rnacentral:rRNA from 1 species